rnacentral:rRNA from 1 species
CUCACCUCUCCUUGCCUAGUCCGCCUAUAUACCGCCGUCGUCAGCUUACCCUGUGAAGAGAUAGAAGUAAGCACAACCGGCACAGCCCAAAACGUCAGGUCGAGGUGUAGCGUAUGGAGAGGGAAGAAAUGGGCUACAUUCGAUAGCAAUAUUGAAUACGGAUAAUGUUUUGAAAGAGACAUUUGAAGGAGGAUUUAGUAGUAAGCAGGGAAUAGAGAGCCCCGCUGAAACCGGCCCUGAAGCGCGCACACACCGCCCGUCACUCUCCCCGAGCUAACAUAAACCAAUUACUAAUAAACAAAAACUGUAAAGGGGAGGCAAGUCGUAACAUGGUAAGUGUACCGGAAGGUGCACUUGGAAUAAC